rnacentral:lncRNA from 1 species
GGGUCAUCAAAAGUGAACUGGUAAAGCAGAGAGUGCCCCAGGAUGAGUGAAGAAUCCUCACAUCCACAGGCUCAGGGCCAGGUCACUCUGAAGAGGAGAAGAUUACAUGUCUACCCAUGGAUCACGUAGCCCAGGGAUGGUGAGAUCAUCCAAAAGGGAAGAAAACCAGUCCAAUCUCCUCAGGAUCUCUUCUUUCCUCCCUUCCUAUAGGUCAGGUCCACUGUUGCCUCUAGGCCCAGGCUCAAGGUUCCCUGCCUGGAACGCCCUUGUCAACUAUCCCAUCCUUCAAAGCCCAGCUAAAGUCCCACCUCCUCGGUGACAUCAGUUCCAGUCUCUCUUAGCUUCUGGGAUUCUUACAAAGGGACCUGGAGCAUGGACCAUAACUCUUCCCCGAAUGUUUCCUCCAUAUGGGUCUUUUCCAGAGAACUAGAUUAAGCUCUAGUAGGUGGUGGGGAGGGCAGGCUGUGUGCCCUUGUCUUCUCUCCUGCAACACAAAACCAAAUAUACGUCAAUAAAUACUGACUGAUGAGUAGAAUUUUCCUUUGCAAUCAGAGAUCUGAGAUGGUUUGGAAGGUCCCUAGGCUUUCUUCAGGAGCUCAUUUUACCUUCUUUCUCCUAUGCCAGGUGUUCCUUCCAAAUGGCUACAUGGCUGAAUUGACUGAUGAUGAGGAGAUUGACAGUUUGUGCUGAGUCCCAGGUGGGAGUAUCGUGAAAUUAGUCCAGCAGGAGCUGAGCAGAGCUUAACUCAUUCAUACAUUGCAGAAGAGAGAGAGGUCCACAGUUCUUUCCAGGAAUGAAUGCCUGAGGGUGGAAAAUUAGGAAGGGAGGAAAAAAAUCCCAGAAUGGAACUAAUCCCCAUCAUGUUAUGCCAGGCAUUCUCUCAUCUGCGAAGGAAAGAUUAUACCUGAGUCUGGGGGACAUGACUUCAACCAUAUCACUCUCCUUCUCUGAAGUCUAAAGUCCUCAACCUGGAACCCAAGGCUUUCUACAAUUUGAUGUCUAUAUUCUCCCAGCCAGUAGUCAAGGAAUUGAAGACACAAGCAGGUACUGACUGUCUGAACCGCAGAGUUCCACUGGGGAUGAUAAGCCCUCGGACAGCAGCAGUCCUGCCUUCUGCUCCCACCUCCUUCGCUAUGCCCGAGAGGACGCUGAGCCCAGGAGACAAUCGAUUGGUCACUACCCGAAAAAUCUCUGAAAGUGAGUUCUUGCAAUAACUCCCCAGACAGCUCUGACCAGUGCUGAAGAUCUUGGCACAAGGGAAAUAAAGCACACACGGCGUGUCCA